AUGGUAAGAUCAUGCCAUGUCCCGAGACUCGAUGAAGGCGACGACGACGGUGGUGUCGUCCUUCUUCCCUCCGGUUUUAUUCCGUCCGUGUUCCCGGGCGGCGACGCUGAAGGGCGUGUCCUGGGUACGCCUCGCCGCGGCGUAAGCCUGGCUGGCAAUGAUGUCGGCCAUGUUUUUCGGCGUGAAGCUGAGCGCCUGGCCCGACUGCACGAUCUUCUCCAGCAUCGCGUCGAACACGUUGUCGAAGAGCCCGUCGGACGCGACCACCACCACGUCGCCUUCCUCCACGGCGAUCUCGCCCACUGCCGCGUCGCUGACCUUGUUGCUGUCGUCGGAGUCGGAGCUGAGCUGGAACGGGCAGUUGAAGUAGCACUGCUGCGGCUGCGACCGGUGCAGGAUCCGGCCGUCGCGGAACACGGCGAAGCCGCUGUCGCCGACGUACGCCCACCUGAGGGUCCUCCCGGCGAGCGACACGAUGACGGCCGUGGACGCCGCCGGCGUGCCGGACGCGGUCGUCUGCUGGUACGCCUUCUCCAGCAGCGCGUAGGGGCAGAUGCCGCCGGGCGGCGGCGCGGCGGAGGAGGACGCCACGACCUCCGACAGGGCGCUCGCCAUGAGCCCGCGCGAGAACGCGGCGGCGUCCAGGCCCUCCAGGCGGCACCCCCCGACGCCGUCCGCCACGCCGAUGACGCCGGCCACGGCGUGGAAGAAGUGCGCGUCCUCGUCGUGCUCCGGCAAGUAGCACGACGCGGCGCUCAUCCUCAAGGCCGCGCCCGUGGGGGGAUUGCUCCGCCGCGCGCGAGGCUGCAGCUGCCGCGCCAGGGAGGCGGCGUAACUCGCGACGUCCUCGCGGCCGGCGGCGGCGGAGGGCGGCAGGCUCCCGAGGCGGAUGCCCACGGCGAUCCGGAGGGCCGCGGGGGUCCGGCUGCUGAUCUCGCUUAG
rnacentral:rRNA from 1 species